AACCCUAUUUUAUAUAAUCGGAAGUUUGUGUGUUGUGCCCGCCAUCGGUUGAGACACAACAUGCUCUUGAAUACAGGGUUUUUACAUCAAAAGGAGGGAUGCUGUCAAAAAGUGAUUGAAUUCAUAUGGAUUUACCUCUUUCUCGCUCCUUAUCUCUCUUUUAUUAGUGUGAAGAUGGUGCUGCUGUGGACUGCUGGAGACAUCUUCAAGACUGCAUACUUUGUGAUGAACGACAGCCCGUUUCAGUUCUGUGUGUGUGGGGCAGUCCAGAUCCUUAUCGACGUAGCCAUCCUGCUGCAGGUAUCAUACUCUUCCACUGGGCGUUCCACUGAUUUCAAAACUCGGUCCUCCAGAAAGUGGAAAGCACCAAGAUUCUCUAGUCUGGAGGAAACCUGGCACAAUCCCUACGGUGAAGCAUAGUGGUGGCAACAUCAUGCUGUGGGGAUGUUUUUCAGUGGCAGGGACUGGGAGACUAUUCAGGAUCGAGGGAAAGGUGGAUGGAGUAAGUACAGAGAGAUCCUUGAUGAAAACCUGCUCCAGAGCGCUCAGGACCUCAGACUGCAUCGAAGGUUCAUCUUCCAACAGGACAAAAACCCUAAGCACAUAGCCAAGACAACACAGGAGUGGCUUUCGGGACAAGUCUGUGAAUGUCCUCGAGUGUCUCAGCCAGAGCCCGGACUUGAACCUAAUCAAACAUCUCUGGAGAGACCUGAAAAUAGCUGUGCAGCAACGCUCCCCAUCCAACCUAACAGAGCUUGAGAGGAUCUUCAGAGAAGAAUAGGAGAAACUCCGUAAAUACAUGUGUGCCAAGCUUUUAGUGUCAUACCCAAGAAUACUUGAGGCUAUAAUCGCUGCCAAAAGUGCUUCAACAAAAUACUGAGUAAAUAGUCUGAAUUCACAUUAUGUAAAUGUGAUAUUUCCAGGUGUUUUUACAUUUGCAAAAAUUUCAAAAACGGAUGGCACUGUGAUAGACUACAUCCAGUUUGCUGAGUAGAAUGUUGGGGGCUAUUUUGUAAAUGACAUCGCUGAAGUCAAGCAUCGGUAGGAUAGUCAGUUUUAUGAGGGUAUGUUUGGCAGCAUGAGUGAAGGAGGCUUUGUUGCGAAAUAGGGAGCCGAUUCUAGAUUUUGGACUGGAGAUGCUUAAUGUGAAUCUGGAAGGAGAGUUUACAGGCUAACCAGACACCUAGGUAUUUGUAGUUGUCCAUUUGUAGUUGACCCCGCCUUAUCUCAGCUCACUGGUCACCAUAGCAACACCCACCCGCAGCACGAGCUCCAGCAGGUAUAAUACAAUGGUCAUCACCAAAACCAACACUUCCUUUGGCCGCCUUACCUUCCAGUUCUCUGUUGCCAAUGACUGGAACAAAUUGCAAAAAUCUCUGAAGCUUAUAUCUCCCUUUCUAGCUUUAAACAUCAGAUGUCAGAGCAGCUUACCAAUCACUGUACCUGUACACAGCCAAUCUGUAAAUAGCACAACCGACCAGCUCAUCCCCAUAUUAUUACUUCUUGCUCUUUUGCACCCCAGUAUCUCUACUUGCACAUCAUCAUCUGCACAUCUAUCACUCCAGUAUUAAUGCUAAAUUGUAAUUAUUUUCGCCUCUAGGGCCUAUUUUUGCCUUAUACCUCGCCACUCUUCUACAUUUGAACACAGUACAUAGAGUUUUCUAUUUUUCUUUUCUUUUGUGUUAUUGACUGUACAUUUUGUCUAUGGGAAACUAUGGGUUGUUGUUUCUGUCGCAAUGCUUUGCUUUAUCUUGGCCAGGUUGCAGUUGUAAAUGAGAACUUGUUCUCAAAUGGCC
ensembl:lncRNA